GACUCGGUGGUGGAUGGACCGCGCCCGUACAAUGUGUGAUCUAUGGAAUAGUAUCAUCUAGCGGGAGGCGCCUGUUCGACUCAGGCCCGAGUCA